UGACAAUCCAGCUGCAAUGUAGUCAUAGAAUCCUAGUGUGUAACUCAUAGAAUCCUAGUGUGUAACCCAGUACUACCAACACCAGAUAAAUCAAUCCUUGCAGAAACAAAUAUUUAAUUUUUAAAUAAGCCAACAAUCUGAACAUUCACUGUUUUGAUAAAUGCAACCUAAAAGAUCUCGUCCCCUGGAUUUAUUUUUCAGUUUGCAAAUGAUUUCCAAAUAUAAUUUCUCAUCGGAAUCUCACAACCACCAAAUACGACCAGGCAUUAUUCAUCUGAUUUUACAGAUGAGGAAAUCAAGGGUCAGAGAAGUGAUGUGACUUGCCCAAGGCCCACAGAUGGUAGGUGGCAAAGCCAGGACUUGGAAUCCAAGAUAAAGAAAACUCAGUGGGAAGGAGAAGUUUGUGAUUAAAUCCAAUUAAAGGAAUAGAGUAAAAUAAAGAACACAGUAAAUUUCUCACCAGGAA
rnacentral:lncRNA from 1 species